AGGCAUUCUUCAGCAGGCGUAUGGCGCCUUCACUAAAAAUUCUGAUUAGGUCCAACCAUUGACAUGACAAUACCAAGUGCAUCCAACAAAAGAAUAUCCAGACCCAAGUAUGGCUCGACCAAUCUGACCAUUGAUCUGAAGGGCACAAUAAGGUGGUCAUAUAAUGAAUGAUAAUUUCAAUACCUAAUAGACACCAGGCAUGUGGCACCUCUAAUGCCUAUUUGAAAUAUUGGACGCAUUAUCACGCACCUUAAUGGGAGGCUAUGAACUAGUUAUCCCUAUAAUCGUAUCAUUUUAAGGACCUAAU
rnacentral:lncRNA from 1 species